GAUAAUGCUGGGAUGUGAUGGGGAGCGAAAUUUAGUAGCGAAGUAGCUGAUUUCACACUGUCAAGAAAAGUCUCUAUCGAGGUUAAAGGUACCCGUACCGCAAACCGACACAGGUGGGUGAGGAGAGUAUCCUAAGGCCAGCGAGAGAACUGUUGUUAAGGAACUCGGCAAAAUGACCCCGUAACUUAGGGAUAAGGGGUGCCACCAUCAGGUGGCCGCAGAGAAUAGGCCCAAGCGACUGUUUACCAAAAACAUAGGUUUCUGCUAAGUCGCAAGACGAUGUAUAGGAGCUGACGCCUGCCCGGUGCUGGAAGGUUAAGGGGAUCUGUUAGAGCAAUCGAAGCAGUGAACUUAAGCCCCAGUAAACGGCGGCCGUAACUAUAACGGUCCUAAGGUAGCGAAAUUCCUUGUCGGGUAAGUUCCGACCCGCACGAAAGGCGUAACGAUUUGGGCACUGUCUCAACAACAGACUCGGUGAAAUUGUAAUUCCGGUGAAGAUGCCGGAUACCUGCGACAGGACGGAAAGACCCCAUGGAGCUUUACUGUAGCUUGACAUUGGGUCUUGGUACUACAUGUACAGGAUAGGUGGGAGGCUUUGAAACCAGGACGCCAGUUUUGGCGGAGCCAUCCUUGGGAUACCACCCUUGUAGUACUGGGACUCUAACCAUAGGCCAUGAAUCUGGUCUUGGGACACUGUCAGGUGGGCAGUUUGACUGGGGCGGUCGCCUCCCAAAAGGUAACGGAGGCGCUCAAAGGUUCUCUCAGUACGGUCGGAAAUCGUACGUAGAGUGUAAAGGCAAAAGAGAGCUUGAUUGCAAGACAUACAGGUCGAGCAAGGAUGAAAAUCGGACUUAGUGAUCCGGUGGUUCUGCGUGGAAGGGCCAUCGCUCAACGGAUAAAAGCUACCCUGGGGAUAACAGGCUUAUCUCCCCCAAGAGUCCACAUCGACGGGGAGGUUUGGCACCUCGAUGUCGGCUCAUCACAUCCUGGGGCUGUAGUAGGUCCCAAGGGUUGGGCUGUUCGCCCAUUAAAGUGGUACGCGAGCUGGGUUCAGAACGUCGUGAGACAGUUCGGUCCCUAUCCGUCGCAGGCGUAGGAAAUUUGAGAAGACCUGUCCUUAGUACGAGAGGACCGGGAUGGACG
rnacentral:rRNA from 1 species